UACAGAGGUCUCAAGCGUUGUUCGGAUUCAUUGGGCGUAAAGAGCUCGUAGGCGGUUCAGUAAGUCGGGUGUGAAAACUCUGGGCUUAACCCAGAGACGCCACCCGAUACUGCUGUGACUUGAGUACGGUAGGGGAGCAGGGAAUUCCUGGUGUAGCGGUGAAAUGCGCAGAUAUCAGGAGGAACACCGGUGGCGAAGGCGCUGCUCUGGGCCGAAACUGACGCUGAGGAGCGAAAGCGUGGGUAGCAAACAGG
rnacentral:rRNA from 1 species